rnacentral:rRNA from 1 species
UACGUAGGGUCCGAGCGUUGUCCGGAUUUAUUGGGCGUAAAGAGCGUGUAGGCGGCUAGAUAGGUCCGUUGUGAAAACUCGAGGCUCAACCUCGAGACGCCGAUGGAAACCAUCCAGCUAGAGUCCGGAAGAGGAGAGUGGAAUUCCCGGUGUAGCGGUGAAAUGCGCAGAUAUCGGGAAGAACACCCGUGGCUAAGGCGGCUCUCUAGUACGGUACUGACGCUGAGACGCGAAAGCGUGGGGAGCGAACAGG